rnacentral:rRNA from 1 species
GGGUGUCGGAGAUUUGAGAGGAUCUGUCCCUAGUACGAGAGGACCGGGAUGGACGCACCUCUGGUGGACCUGUUGUCGCGCCAGCGGCAGUGCAGGGUAGCUAUGUGCGGAAGGGAUAACCGCUGAAGGCAUCUAAGCGGGAAACCCACCUCGAAACGAGAUCUCCCUUGAGAGCCGUGGAAGACCACCACGUUGAUAGGCCGGGUGUGGAAGCGCAGCAAUGCGUGAAGCUGACCGGUACUAAUCGCUCGAUCGGCUUGAUCGUUCUCAUUAU